rnacentral:rRNA from 1 species
CUUGGUGAGAAGAGCUACAGGGGUACACCUAGACACAUUCCGAACCUAGAAGUUAAGCCUGUAAACGCUGAAAGUACUUGGUUGGAGACGACCUGGGAGGAUAGGAACUUGCCAAGC